UGAUAAUGUCGUGAGUUGACUACCAUUCUGUAAACAGUAAGCACUCUGUGUGUUUGUCAACAAUUUUGGACCAAAAUAAAUAGCAAAAGUUCAUGAAUGAAAAUGAAAUGUUGUGCAAAGUUUGUACUUUGUAUAAUCAAUAAGAAUGAUCUAAUCAUGAUUUUUGGAAGAAGAAAAAGUUAUAAAAAGAAGCCGCUACUUCAAGGUUAUAUAAUUGAUUUUGGGUGAAGUUGGAUUGGCCAAAGCUAUUGAAGAAUGAUGUGAUCUGUAUGAAUUGUUGCUUAAUUAGGCAGCCAUUGUGAAAUCAUUUCAUGUAUCUGGUAAUGCUCAAAGGGUCCAUUUUGUAAAUUCUGUAUUUGAGUUAGUAACUACCAGUAUACCAAUUACUAACAGGUUAUAUUCUGCUAAAACACUGUUUUUAAUAGCAGGAUACACUACAUUUGUGGUGUUAGGAGGACACAUUCAAUUAAAUAGAGAAGCAUGUGAAUGAUAAUUUGGUUGGUAGAGUACAAAACAGGAAAUUCUGAUUGACAAACAUACAUAAAUUCAAGAAAUAAAAGGGAGUUACUUGAAAAAUAUUUGGGCCAUGUAAAAUUCAGUUUCUUAUUUUUUUGUUAUUGCACAUUAAAAUACAAAUUUUAAAUGAGUAACUUAUACAUAGUAUCUGAAAAAAUUAUAACUUGAGUUUCUUUAAUUUUCUGUAGGUAUUACCUUAAUAAAAUAAUUUUUCUAAUGAUUAUACUAUAUAUAUGUAAAUGAAAUGACUACUGCAUAUUUCAAUAGUUUUUAUGAUUAUAUUACUCAUGGAGUAUGACCUACAAAUUUAUUAUAGAUGAUCAGUAAUGCGCUGUGAGCCAGUUGAAGUGUUUUUAAAAAUAUGUAUUAUAGUUAAUCAAGUUAUUUUAAUAUAUAUUAUAAAAUUUUUGCUUAUUUUGAAAUAGCUGCAAUGUAAAAAAUGUAGAUUCUUGGAGUAAUUUUCUAUAUUUGUAUUAUAUGUAUAUUAAAUUGUAGAAACGAAUUCUGCUACAUGAGAACAAAUUUUUUAAUUUCAUCAAUUUAACAUUAUAAUUCUUUUUGUAUUAUUUUAGAAUAUAAAAUUUUCAUAAUGUAAGUUGCAA